GCCCAAGGCAUUCUUUUGACCAACAGGCCUUGGAGGUAACCAAUUCUGAAAAAUGGAGGCUCCAUCUCCAGGUAGCCACUCCACGGUCUUCUUCUGCGUGGACUCAGAAGCAUCCUACAUCUUACUAACUGUUAGAUCGUGCACUUCGAUUCUAAAUUCAGUACUUCAACUGUUCACCACAACAUGCAGAACAAAGACGGCACUCCAGCUUAGCACACGAGGCCCCUCCUCAUCUGCCACCUCCUUGCCUCUCCAGUUCAUUCCCUUCUGGUUCUGACAGCCCGGCCUAGGUUCCAGCACCACACCUAAUGCUGCCAGCCCUGUGAGAGUCAUUACAGGCUCACCUCCUGGAAGCUAUCCCUACUCCCAAGAACAUGGUUUGAGAACAAGACAGUAAUCCUGCUGAAGAAUCACAGCGUUCCAUGCCUGUGCCCCAGACUCGGAGCCAAGGACUUUGGGUGUUUGGGUGUCUGUCAACCAUCUGACCUCUAUGC